UACAGCUGCUAAGUGCUAACUUGCUACCGUAAAUACAACCCACAUACGGCUACUGAAAAUAAAAAAGAACAGCUACUGAAAUUAUGGUGUAAAAUAAAGAUACAAUAAAAAUACGGCUGUACACGUAUUGAAUAACCGACAAUACAAUACUUGUAUAUAAAUACGAUCACCCACAACAAGUCAACAAUUUCCCUCCAUUAUUUAUAUUUAUAAAUAAUAGAUAAUUUCUCCCAAAUUUCCCUCCACAUUCUAAUUUCCCCCUUUCUUACUUUAAUCAAAUCAAAACUCCUAAUUAAGAACCCUAAUCCUAGUUUCCUUAUUAUCGAUCAUCCAUUUCAGCAUCAAAUCACUUAAUCGCUACGUAAUUUCAGCAUCAGAUCACUUAAUCGCUACGUAAUUUCAGCUCGCGCACAUCCAAUUUUACUAAAGCAUGGUUAUUUUAUCGAUUUGAAAAGUUGAAGAUUGCAAUUAUAGGAGAAGCUUGGAGAAGGAUGAUGAUUGUCUUAUUGAAAGGAGGCCACCAGGCGGUUUACCACUGACUGCUGCAUCAGCUUCUAAUUGUGCAGCGGGAUUAUGUUUUGGUCUUAAUUAUCCAAACUACUAUGGGCAGCUUAAAGAAUGUCAACGGAUAGCUGUUGCAACAAUGUACUCGCGGAAGAUGCUGAAACAAUAUGCAAUAAUGGCGUUGGUGACACUUAGCACCCUAUCAUUUUCUGUCGAUAGGCCUACAAUUACUGCUGUUAUGGAUUUUAUGUGUGGUAUCAAAUGUUGAAGAAGCAAGAUAUGAAACUGUCAGUGACAGUAAAUCAAUAGACACUCAUCAACAUGAAAUUCCUGUUGACGGUGUUGAUCCAUCAACUUCUGUUGCACUGUCUGUUUGCCAAAGGUCUCUUAAG